GACGUAGGGUGCGAGCGUUGUCCGGAUUUAUUGGGCGUAAAGAGCUCGUAGGUGGUUUGUCGCGUUGUUCGUGAAAACUCACAGCUCAACUGUGGGCGUGCGGGCGAUACGGGCAGACUAGAGUACUGCAGGGGAGACUGGAAUUCCUGGUGUAGCGGUGGAAUGCGCAGAUAUCAGGAGGAACACCGGUGGCGAAGGCGGGUCUCUGGGCAGUAACUGACGCUGAGGAGCGAAAGCGUGGGGGAGCGAACAGG
rnacentral:rRNA from 1 species